GAUGAACGCUAGCGACAGGCCUAAUACAUGCAAGUCGAACGGUGUCUUCGGACAUAGUGGCGCACGGGCGCGUAACACGUAUGCAACCUACCUUACAUUGGGGGAUAGCCUUUCGAAAGGGAGAUUAAUACCGCAUGAGACAGUAGCUGGGCAUCCAGCAGCUGUUAAAGAUUUAUCGAUGUAAGCUGGGCAUGCGUCCAAUUAGCUAGUUGGUGAGGUAACGGCUCACCAAGGCAAUGAUUGGUAGGGGAACUGAGAGGUCAAUCCCCCACACUGGCACUGAGAUACGGGCCAGACUCCUACGGGAGGCAGCAGUAGGGAAUAUUGGGCAAUGGACGCAAGUCUGACCCAGCCAUGCCGCGUGCAGGAUGAAGGCGUUAUGCGUUGUAAACUGCUUUUAUACAGGAAGAAACGACUCUUGCGAGAGGCAUUGACGGUACUGUAUGAAUAAGCACCGGCUAACUACGUGCCAGCAGCCGCCGUAAGAC
rnacentral:rRNA from 1 species